rnacentral:lncRNA from 1 species
GCCCAUAUCCCUCAACCCUAAAAAUCCUACAUCUCCUCAUUCUUGAAAAAACUAGUGACACACACACUCAAAAAAAGAAGAACGAUCAGAGAUGGAAAUCGGCUGCCUCCCUCAAAGACUCAACUCCUCCCAAUUUCCAACAAUACCUCCUAGCUUCAAAGAGCUAAAAUUUUCCGCCUCCAACUCCAAAAAUCAUCCAUACUCUCCAACACCCAGCAGCCUAAACACACACACAUAUAUAGAAUGAGAUAAAAAAAAAGGGGAAACGACAAAGAGGGGGAGGGGAAUUGAACGAAAAAUCAGAGAGGAAAUCUUGAGAGAAAAGGUUUGAGAUAAGGUUCUUCUCAUUCUUCCAUCUUGAUUCUUUUUUGAUUGUUUUUCAGAAAAUACAGACCAAAAAAAAUUCUCCAUUUCUUGUCCUCAAAUUCAAAAAAAUAUAUUUCUUCUUUCAGUUUGGAUUUUGAUUUCCAUAUGGAGUUUGAUUGAAGACGUAUUCGAGUCGAAGUUCCUCCUCUAUUCUGAGUUCCCCGCCGUGAGUAGAUUUCCGUUUUGGUUCGCGAUUAUUGUUAGAUUUUGCUUCAGAUUGUAUUCAAAGGCUUAUUUUUGAAUAAAAGUUCAAGAGAAAUUGGCUGAAAUUUUGCUAUUCGCUGCUGAUUAUUUCUCAAAUGAACUCAAGGCAUUAGGUACAUACCCACUAAUUUGUCAUUUACCUUUUUUAAUCAAUGAUUUGAAUUGCUUGAAAGGUCGUGAAUCUAUUGCUUCUGCUGUUCCUUGGGUAUAUAUACACCUAAUAGGAUACUCAAUUGAUUUAAAUUUUACCCGUCAUGCUUAAACUAAUUGUGAUUUUGUGACUAGUCAUAAUUUGGGGAAGUGAAGGCUCAUCUGUGAGAAUAUUAAACUGUGUAUGUUCUUCAGUUGAUUCUGUGAGUGAUACUGGGUGUUUGAAGAACCUCGCUGUCAAAUUAUAAUCCAUGUAAUUCAUUAUUGUAAACCCCAAAGGCCUUGAGUAAAUAUGUUGUUUAAUAUAAUGUAUGAAUUGAGAUGUUAUUAACUAGGAACUAAUAUUCACACUGUUUCAUUCGAAUCCCUACCAUGUUUAACCAUGAAUGUGCUUAAGAGUUUUAUGGAUAAGUUUAUUAAUCUGAUGUCAUAUGUAGAAAUAGAAAAAAAAUUAUUUUCAUUUAUUAGAUCCAAAAAAGGAAAAUAACAAAUUGAAGUCUUGGAAUGAAAUGUGUGGUCUAGUUGUUAAAAGAUUUGGACCGGAAUAACCUUCAUUGCACCUUGGGCUUUUAGUUAAAUGCUGACAUUUUUUUGUGUAAUCUCAAACUUAGGAAAGAAAUAAAUCUUGAAUAAUCUCUAGUAUGCUUUAGGCGCGUAUUAAUAAAUAAAUUAUCGUGAUUAUAUACACGUGCGCGUGAUAUAGUUAUAAUUUUUAAACUUAAAACUAAGGUACACGUUCGCAUGACUUUGUCCAAAAAAUCUUAAUAAUUAAUAAAGCGUGAUAGAUUGUGUACACAUAUGCGUGACAUGAUUUUAGCUCCCCAAAUAAAAGGGAUUUACGCACAUGUAAUCCGUUUCAAAGAUUAAAUCCAUAAAUGCCAUAAUCUAAAAGCGGUAGAAGGUAAAAUUUACAUAGGUUCUAAAAUAAAAAAUAUUAAACAAUUUAAUUAAUCCAGGUAUGAUUAAAGAGACCGUGCUAAAACCACAGAACCCGAGAAUGCAUAUCUCCUUCUCCCGGAUUAACAAAAUUUCUUACCUGGUCUUCUGGUUUCGAAGACUUUAGAGCAGAUUCAAACUUUCCCUGAUUUGGGAUUUAAAAUAAAUCGGUGACUUUGGAUACCAUAAAUUAUUCCAAGUGACGACUUUGAAUUAAAUAAAUUAUCCCAUUUCGAUUAAUGUCAAUUAGAGAAACUCCCCAUCCCUAUACCCUCGGGAAAAAAGAGGUGUGACAAUGAACGUUGUUGGAGCAUUUGUCAUCCCAAAAGACAUCACAAGGAACUCACAAUGGCCAUAACGGGUCCUAAACGCUGUCGUAAGAAUAUCCGGGUCCCGAAUCUUCAACUGGUGAUACCCAAACCUCAAAUCAAUCUUGGAGAACACCCUCGCUCCCUGAAGCUGGUCAAAUAGGUCAUCAAAGGAUACUUGUUCUUGAUUGUGACUUUGUUGAAUUACCUAUAAUCAAUAGACAUUCCCAUAAUACUAUCCUUCUUCUUCAUGAACAGAAUAGGUGCACCCCAAGGUGACACACUAGGCCUAAAAAACCCCUUCUCAAGGAGUUCCUAAAUCUACUCCCUCAACUCCUUCAACUCAAUCGGUGCCAUACGGUAUGGAGGAAUAGAAAUACGCUGAGUGCCUGGCACUAAGUCAAUACCAAAAUCAAUGUCCCUAUUGGGUGACACGCCUGACAGGUCUGCAAGAAAUAUAUCCGGAAACUCUUGCACCACCUGAACAGAAUCAAUAGUAGGGGUCUCAGCACUAACAUCCCUUACAAAGGCCAAAUAAGAUAAACAAUCCUUCCCAACCAUCCGCGGGGCCCUUCAAGUAUGAAAUCACUCUACUGGGAACAUAGUCUAAUGAACCAUGCCACUCAAUCCAUGGCAACCCUGACAUCACCAACAUCACAGUCUUAGCAUGACAAUCCAAAACAGCAUGACAUGGAGACAACCAAUCCAUACCCAAAAUCACGUCAAAAUCAACUAUACUAAGUAGCAAGAGAUCAACUCUAGUCUCCAAUCUCCUAAUAGUCACUACACACAACCGAUACACUCUGUCCACAAUAAUAGUAUCACCCAUUGGCGUGGAUAUACGAACAGAUAAAGCUAAAGACUCACGGGGCAUAUCCAGAUAAUAAGUAAAAAACGACGAUAGAUAUGAAUAGGUAGAACCAGGGUCAAGCAAUAAAGAAGCUUCUCGAUGACAUAAUGAGACAAUACUUGUGAUCACUAUGUUUGAAGCGAUAACAUCUGGUCUGGCAGGGAGUGCAUAGAAAUGGGCCUGGGCGCCACCUAAUCAGUCCCCUCUCUAGGGCGACCCCUAUGAUGUUAUGAGGAUAUAAAAUAGUUUCCUUUGGUUACAUUAUGAUAACAUGUACAUUUUAACCUUUUGUUACUUCUGGGUUUAAUAAUUUAGGAUAUAAACAUUUUUGAAUGUUUAAUACUUUGCUAUUAUCAUGAAGAAAUUUGGCGGUAUAAAUAAAAACCCUCAAUGUUUAAUUCUCAUAUUUGAGCCAUGUGAAUGAAGAAAUACCUAGUAGGAAGUGUUUCCUCCUAAAAUAGGCUAUACACGAUUCAAAUCUAGAUUAGUCGAACUAGUAACUUUUGAAUACCAAGUAAUUAAAAAAAGUACUUUGUUAUCAGUGUGGUCGUGACAGAUUUCUUGUUUGAUUUUUGCUUACGUGACGACCCGACCAGUCGUCUCAUAAGUUUCCGCUCCGUUUCCCCCAUUUCUACUUUUUUAUGCUUCGUUAUUCAUGUUUUAUGUGAGCGAGUUGGGUAGUUUGCGUUCAGAGUGGAUUUGGUAAGAAAUGAGACACUUAGUCUUUUUCAAGAAGGUUUAAGUUGGAAAAGUCAACCAGAUGUUGACUUAUGUAUUAGAGGGCUCAGAUGUGAGUUCCGAUAAUUUGGUUAGCUUCAAGAGGUGAUUUAUGACUUGGGAGUGUGAUCGGAAUUGGUUUUGGAGGUCCGGUGUAGAAUUAGGCUUGAAUUGGAGAAGUUAGUAUUUUGGCGAUCUCCGGUUGGUAGGUGAGAUUUUGAUCCAGGGGCCGGAAUAGAAUUUCGAAUGUUGCUGUAGCUUCAUUAUGUCAUUUGGGAGGUGUGUGCGAAAUUUUAGGUCAUUCAGACGUGGUUUGGUCGGGUUUUUGAUCGAAAACGUAUUUCGGGAGAUUUCUCAAAAAUUAGGCUUGAAUUUUGAUGAGUUUUGGGUAAUUUGAUGUUGUUUGAGGUGUUUUGAUGAUUGGAACAAGUUUGAAUAAGGUAUUGGGUCAUGUUGGUGCUUUUGGUUGAGAUCCCGGGGCCUCGAGGUGAAUUCGGAUGGUUAACGGGAAGAUUUUGGACUUAAGAGAUCUCAAAAGUUGUUGCUUCUAGUAUUUCAGAUCCAGCGGAUUGGGGACCGCAGGUGCGGUGCCGCACAUGUAGAAGAAGAGCCGCAGAAGCAGUUUGGGAAGAAUAGCCAAGGACCGUAGAUGCGUUACAAGGACCGCACCUACGGAGUCGCAGAUGCAGCUCGUGGACCGCAUAUGAGGAACCUGGCCUCCUAAGUGAUUUCUGUAGAUGCGCAGGAAUUACCGCAGAAGCGGUACCACAGGAGCGGUGGUGGGGUUGCAGAUGCGAAAAAGCCCUGAUUAGAAAGUUUAUAAGUUAUUUCAUCCGCGAUUUUGAGCCAUUUUUUCCUCCAUAGCUAAGUAUUUUGAGAGCUUUUUGAAGGUGAUUAAAGAGGGAUUCAAGGAGAAUUGAUUGGAGGUAAGACUUUCGAACAUAAAACUUGAAUCUAUUGUGAAAUUAACCUAGAGAUUCCUGGAACUUAAGCUAAAAAUGGAAGAAAUAGGGCUUGGGAUUUUGAGUUUUUUAUUUGGGGAUUUGGAGGACCAUUUGGGGUCGGAUUUGAGAACUUUCGAUAUGUAUGAACUCGUGGAAGGAUAAGGAACCUGUUGAUGUAAAAAUAUUAGAGUUUCGAGAAGUGGUCCUGAGGCUCGGGUUUUGCUAAUUUCGGGAUUAUUGAUAUUUUUCGAUUGUUUUUGCUUGGGCUUUGUUCCCUUAGCAUUUUGUGACGUAUUCGUUCUGAUUUUGGAUAGAUUCGAUGCGCGUGGAGGACGAUUCGAGGGUAAAAGGUGUCCCGAGCUAGAGUGGUAGCCGGUUCGAGGUGAGUAAUGAUCGUAAAUGAUGUCCUGAGGGUUUGAAACCCCAGAUUUGCAUAUCGUAGUGCUAUAUUUAGGUGAGACACGCACUGGAUGAUGAUCGUGGGGUCUUUUACUAUUGGGGAUUGAGACUUGGUCCGUCCCGAUUGAUGAUUUUACCACAUAUUUGAUUGAAACUUAUUUGUUAUCAUCAUGAUUUGGGCUAAUUGCCAUAUUUGGUCUUCUUGCCAACUAUUUGAACCCUUCGGGGAUUUUGACUGAUUUUCCUCACUCUACUUGUUAAAAAUCAUAUCCUCAGUCAUGUUUCUAUUUGUUUUAAACGAUUUGAGCUGGUUUUAUCAUACUAUUCCUAAAUGAGAGGAAUUUGUAGGCUGAGAUCCCUAUCUUCUAUUAUGGUGCCCGAGAGGCUGUGAGGUUAAUGACUGAGAGAGGUUGAGAACCCAAUGGUGAGGAUAUUAUAUAUGUUAUGGACCAGGAUGCACACCGCAGCUAUACAUAUAUUGGAUCGAGCUGCAUGUCGCAUCGAUAUAGCGCUUGGGCUGUUGGAGCCCCUCUAGAGUCUGCACACCCCCAGUGAGCGCAGUCGACUAUCUAUAUGGAUCGGGCUGCAUGCCGCAGUGGUUAUUCUGAUUUCUGUUAUUAUGAGAGAUAUAUGGGUCGAGAGCUGAUAUUGAGCACUAAGUGAUGAGAGUGAGUCCGAGGAGCUGACACUAUUCUGAGUGAUUGAUACUGUGCCCGAGGGGCGGAUUUCCACUUGUUAAUUGCCUACUAAAUUACAUGUUUUACCAGAUUUAAAGAGACUUUACUUGACUUCUUCACUGAUUUACUACUUUAUGUGAUUAUUACUGCUUUGAUAUAGAAUUGCUUUGUGCCUUUACGUGUUUUCUUGCUUUCAGCCAUUAUUUAUAUUUAUUAAUCACUGGGUCGGUGUACUAACAUUCUCCCUGCAUCGUGUGUACAGAUUCAGGCAUCGCAGAGUCUGUUCCUGAGUGUUGAUCUUCCUAGUUCAGACAGUGUUUUCGGAGACUACGAGGUAGCGGUUGGCGUCCGUAGCCCCCGUGCCUCCCUUAUCUUACUAUUUUCAUGUUCUUGAACUUCUGUAUCGGGGUUUAUAUCUAGUAGACUGGUAUCCGGAUUAAUUAGUUGCUCAUGACUUGUGACACCCCGAUUUGGGCUGUAUUAGGAUGGUUUCUAAUGUUGUUAUCAUUAUUUCCGCAUAUAUUUUAGAACUAUUUAUGGUAUUUAACUAUUUAAAUGAGGUGUUCUGUUUGGUUUGGCUGGCCUUGUCUUCACGAGAGGCGCCAUCACGAUCAAGUUUGGGGUUAGGGUCGUGACAAGUUGGUAUCAGAGCCUAGGUUACAUAGGUCUCACGAGUCAUGAGCAGGUUUAGUAGAGUCUCGCGGAUCGGUAUGGAGAUGUUUGUAUCUAUCCUCGAGAGGCUGCAGAACCUUUAGGAAAAACUUCAUAUUCUUGGAAUUCUUGUCGCGCGAACUUGUUGGUCCGAGUACUAAACUUCUGUUAUUCCAUUCUCUCACAGAUGUUGAGGACGCGAGCUACCGGACGAGGUGGACGACCACUAGUGCCACCAGUAGAGACCACCAGAGGCCAUAGAUGUGGUCGUGGCAGAGGCAGAGCAGUGAGGGCAGCACCUGUAGAUCCACCAGCUGCCCUAGCUCCGGAUCAAGCUCCAACUAUGGAUGCUCCAGCAGCACUGGUUCAGGCACCAGCUGUGCCCAUCGUGAUUUCGGGUCUUCAGGAGGCCUUGACACAGAUCCUAUCAGUUUGCACUACCCUAACUCAGGUAGUUUCAUCCACUAUAGCA